ACAGCCCUGCAAUGUGCGUGAUCAGCCGGGUAGUUUUGAGCCAACACCAAAACUACGGGAGCCCGGACUCUGGAUGUGGCUUGAAUGCCUCCUUUGAGUGGACUCAAAAAGCAUUCAGGAGGGUACCCACCUGCGGGAGCAGGUUCAAAAACACGGCCUCACGGCAUGGUGGGGUUUAU
rnacentral:other from 1 species